rnacentral:rRNA from 1 species
CGCGUAGGCGGUCGGAUAAGUCUUGUGUGAAAUCUUCGGGCUCAACUCGAAGUCUGCACAGGAAACUAUCUGGCUUGAGUGUGGGAGAGGUGAGUGGAAUUCCUGGUGUAGCGGUGAAAUGCGUAGAUAUCAGGAGGAACACCUGUGGCGAAAGCGGCUCACUGGACCACAACUGACGCUGAGGCGCGAAAGCUAGGGGAGCAAACAGGAUUAGAUACCCUGGUAGUCCUAGCCCUAAACGAUGAUCGCUUGGUGUGACGGGUACCCAAUCCCGCCGUGCCGAAGCUAACGCGUUAAGCGAUCCGCCUGGGGAGUACGGUCGCAAGGCUGAA